AACUUCGGAAGAAGGUGUGCCCUAGUAGUGUGAAGUGAACAACGGAGCAUGAAUGGGUUGCAAAAAAUCGGUGGCUGCGACUGUUUAUUAAAAACACAGCACUCUGCAAACACGAAAGUGGACGUAUAGGGUGUGACGCCUGCCCGGUGCUGGAAGAUUAAAUGAUGGGGUGCAAGCUCUUGAUUGAAGUCCCAGUAAACGGCGGCCGUAACGAUAACGGUCCUAAGGUAGCGAAAUUCCUUGUCGGGUAAGUUCCGACCUGCACGAAUGGCGUAACGAUGGCCACACUGUCUCCUCCCGAGACUCAGCGAAGUUGAAAUGUUUGUGAUGAUGCAAUCUCCCCGCGGAAAGACGGAAAGACCCCAUGAACCUUUACUGUAGCUUUGUAUUGGACUUUGAACAGAUCUGUGUAGGAUAGGUGGGAGGCUUUGAAGCAGGGUCGCUAGAUCUUGUGGAGCCAACGUUGAAAUACCACCCUGGUGUGUUUGAGGUUCUAACCUAGGUCCAUUAUCUGGAUCGGGGACAGUGCAUGGUAGGCAGUUUGACUGGGACGGUCUCCUCCCAAAGCGUAACGGAGGAGUUCGAAGGUACGCUAGUUACGGUCGGACAUCGUGACGAUAGUGCAAUGGCAUAAGCGUGCUUAACUGCGAGACUGACAAGUCGAGCAGAUGCGAAAGCAGGACAUAGUGAUCCGGUGGUUCUGUAUGGAAGGGCCAUCGCUCAACGGAUAAAAGGUACUCUGGGGAUAACAGGCUGAUACCGCCCAAGAGUUCAUAUCGACGGCGGUGUUUGGCACCUCGAUGUCGGCUCAUCUCAUCCUGGGGCUGUAGCCGGUCCCAAGGGUAUGGCUGUUCGCCAUUUAAAGAGGUACGUGAGCUGGGUUUAAAGCGUCGUGAGACAGUUUGGUCCCUAUCUUCCGUGGGCGCUGCAGAUUCAGGAAGCCUGCUCCUAGUACGAGAGGACCGGAGUGGACGCACCUCUGGUGUAUCGGUUGUCACGCCAGUGGCAUUGCCGAGUAGCUAUGUGCGGAAGAGAUAACCGCUGAAAGCAUCUAAGCGGGAAACUCGUUCCAAGAUGAGAUCUGCCGGGGCCUUGAGCCCCCUAAAGAGUCGUUCAAGACCAGGACGUUGAUAGGUCAGGUGUGGAAGCGCAGUAAUGCGUUAAGCUAACUGAUACUAAUUGCUCGUGCGGCUUGACCCU
rnacentral:rRNA from 1 species